UACGAAGGGGGCUAGCGUUGUUCGGAAUUACUGGGCGUAAAGCGCACGUAGGCGGCGCAGCAAGUUGGGGGUGAAAUCCCGAGGCUCAACCUCGGAAUUGCCUUCGAAACUGCUGUGCUCGAGUUCGGAAGAGGUGAGUGGAAUUCCCAGUGUAGAGGUGAAAUUCGUAGAGAUUGGGAAGAACACCAGUGGCGAAGGCGGCUCACUGGUCCGCAACUGACGCUGAGGUGCGAAAGCGUGGGGAGCAAACAGG
rnacentral:rRNA from 1 species